rnacentral:rRNA from 1 species
AUUCAGUACACCCUGAAUGUACCCGAUCUCAUGUGAUCUUGGAAGCUAAGCAGGGUUGGGCCUGGUUAGUACUUGGAUGGGAGGAGAUGGGGAGAAUA